rnacentral:rRNA from 1 species
UUAAACGUCCAUACACGUUGAACACAUCGAUUCUUCUCGUCCGAUCACUGAAGUUAAGCAAUAUCGGGUGCGGUCAGUACUUGGAUGGGUAACGCCUGGGAACGCCCCGUGACGUUAGCU